AGUGAACGCUGGCGGUAGGCCUAACACAUGCAAGUCGAACGGCAGCACAGUAAGAGCUUGCUCUUACGGGUGGCGAGUGGCGGACGGGUGAGGAAUACAUCGGAAUCUACUUUUUCGUGGGGGAUAACGUAGGGAAACUUACGCUAAUACCGCAUACGGCCUACGGGUGAAAGCAGGGGAUCUUCGGACCUUGCGCGAUUGAAUGAGCCGAUGUCGGAUUAGCUAGUUGGCGGGGUAAAGGCCCACCAAGGCGACGAUCCGUAGCUGGUCUGAGAGGAUGAUCAGUCACACUGGAACUGAGACACGGUCCAGACUCCUACGGGAGGCAGCAGUGGGGAAUAUUGGACAAUGGGCGCAAGCCUGAUCCAGCCAUACCGCGUGGGUGAAGAAGGCCUUCGGGUUGUAAAGCCCUUUUGUUGGGAAAGAAAAGCAGCAGGUUAAUACCCCGCUGUUCUGACGGUACCCAAAGAAUAAGCACCGGCUAACUUCGUG
rnacentral:rRNA from 1 species